rnacentral:sRNA from 1 species
UUGCAAGCUGAAUAGCAGCUGCUACCAUACAAAGUGCAGGGGGGCGCAAAGCUGGAAAUAGCCGAACUUCAUUAAUUGCAAGUUGACUAGCAGAAUACAUGAAGUACAGCAAGGAGACUUAGUCAUAUGGGCUGCAUAGCCAAUAGGGCGCAUAAUUAAGUUAGAUUUAAGUAGAUUUAAAUUUGAAUAUUAGGCGCAAGCGCCGUCAGAUAUGUUCGCUGCACAUAUACAUAUAUGUGCCGAAAAUAAACUUUUGUAUUGUA